rnacentral:lncRNA from 1 species
GGCAGGGCAAAAACAUCAGGAAGCCAGAGUUUGUCUUUGGAAAUUCCAGCCUUUCUUUUCGGGUGAUUUCCCCAACCCCUGCUGCAGCAGUCUCUUAUUUACUUUGACUCAAACACCGAAUUCCCUCCUACUACUCCUUCUCCUUUCUACAACACCAGCUCUCUAGAUAUUUCUGUUCCUAAUUUUUUUUUUUUUUUUGUCGAAAAAGAACGGCUUCUGCUGGUUUUUUUUUUUUUUUCAGUCCUUUUCUGAAUUUGAUGUCUAUUUUGUUCCCAGUUAUUUUCAUAUCUUCAGCUGCUGCUAUUACAUUCCCAUCUCUUGGAAGGAGCCAGAGCCAGAGAAAUACAGGGUUCCUCUGUGGCCAAGGGAAAA